UUCCGGUUGAUCCUGCCGGAGGCGACCGCUUUGGGAGUUCGAUUAAGCCAUGCGAGUCGUGAGUCUUAGGGACUCGGCAUACUGCUCAGUAACACGUGGAUAACCUGCCCUAUCGUCUGGAAUAACCUCGGGAAACUGAGAAUAAGGCCGGAUAGUUCACAAUGCCUGGAACGGUUUGUGAAUCAAGGUAGGAUGGGUCUGCGGCGUAUCAGGUUGUAGGGGGUGUAAAGGACCCCCUAGCCUUCGACGCGUACGGGUGUUGGGAGACAUAGCCCGGAGAUGGAUUCUGAGACACGAAUCCAGACCCUACGGGGUGCAGCAGGCGCGAAAACUUCACACUGCAGGAAACUGUGAUGAGGGAACUCCUAGUGCAUGCACUAUGUGUAUGUAGAUCCUACUCUUAACAAGUAGAGGGAAAGGGCUGGGAAAGACCGGUGCCAGCCGCCGCGGUAAUACCGGCAGCACAAGUGGUCGUCGCUUUUAUUGGGCCUAAAACGUCCGUAGCCUGUUUGGUAAAUCUGUGGGUAAAUCAAUCCGCUCAACGGAUUGAAUUCUGCAGAGACUGCCAGACUAGGGACCGGGAGAGGUGUGGGGUACUCGAGGGGUAGGGGUAAAAUCCUGUCAUCCUUCGAGGACCACCAGUUGCGAAGGCGCCACACUGGAACGGAUCCGACGGUCAGGGACGAAGCCUAGGGGCACGAACCGGAUUAGAUACCCGGGUAGUCCUAGGUGUAAACGCUGUGAACUUGGUGUCGGGGGUCCGCAAGGGGUCCCCGGUGCCGGAGUGAAGAUGUUAAGUUCACUGCCCGGGGAGUACGGUCGCAAGGCUGAAACUUAAAGGAAUUGGCGGGGCAGCAC
rnacentral:rRNA from 1 species